AGAUAUAAGGAAAACAAGAUAACUGUGAUCGACAACAAUUUCAUAAAGUAUAUCUUGGAAUUGCCUUCCUCCCCUCGGAAGUCCCAACCACCUCCCGCAACAGAAGCUUUUGUCUUUAGCUGAAGACGGUGUUUAAAGUGAGAAUUUCAACCAUCGUGGAAAGGGAAACAAAAAAGAAAAUAAAGAAAUGAGAC